rnacentral:rRNA from 1 species
UACGUAGGGUGCAAGCGUUGUCCGGAAUUAUUGGGCGUAAAGAGCUUGUAGGCGGUUUGUCGCGUCUGCCUGUGAAAUUUCGGGGCUCAACCCCCGAACUUGCAGUGGGUACGGGCAGACUAGAGUGUGGUAGGGGAGACUGGAAUUCCUGGUGUAGCGGUGAAAUGCGCAGAUAUCAGGAGGAACACCGAUGGCGAAGGCAGGUCUCUGGGCCAUAACUGACGCUGAGAAGCGAAAGCAUGGGGGAGCGAACAGG